rnacentral:rRNA from 1 species
UACAGAGGGUGCGAGCGUUGCUCGGAAUCACUGGGCGUAAAGGGUGCGUAGGCGGGUCUUUAAGUCAGGGGUGAAAUCCUGGAGCUCAACUCCAGAACUGCCUUUGAUACUGAAGAUCUUGAGUUCGGGAGAGGUGAGUGGAACUGCGAGUGUAGAGGUGAAAUUCGUAGAUAUUCGCAAGAACACCAGUGGCGAAGGCGGCUCACUGGCCCGAUACUGACGCUGAGGCACGAAAGCGUGGGGAGCAAACAGGG